AGGGCAACUUGGAGCUUAGUGGCGGAAGGGUUAGUAAUACAUGAAUAACCUGCCUUUUACCUGGGGAUAACGGCUGGAAACGGCCGCUAAUACCGAAUGAGGUGUUUCGAGCGGGAGCGAGAGAUAUCAAAGUAGGGGACCUUGAAAGGGGCCUUACGGUAAAUGAGGGGUUCAUGGGAUAUCAGCUAGUUGGUGUGGUAAAAGCGCACCAAGGCUAAGACGUCUAGGCGGAUUGAGAGAUUGACCGCCAACAUUGGGACUGAGAUACUGCCCAGACUCCUACGGGAGGCUGCAGUCCAGGAUCUUUCGCAACGGGCGCAAGCCUGACGAAGCGACGCUGCGUGGACGAUGAAGGCCUUCGGGUUGUAAAGCCCUUUCGCGUGGGAACAAAAAAGGUCGUUUAAUAUACGGCCGACUUGAGGGUACUACGUUAAGAAGCCCCGGCUAACUCCGUGCCCCCAACUGCGGUUGUCCGGAGGGGUGCAAGCAUUAAUCGGAUUUAUUGGGCGUAAAGGGCGCGUAGGCGGAUUGACAAGUCAGAUGUGAAAUUCCGAAGCUCAACUUCGGAGCUGCAUUUGAAACUGUAAGUCUAGAGGAUUGGCGGAGAAAAUGGAAUUCCACAUGUAGCGGUGAAAUGCGUAGAUAUGUGGAAGAACACCAGUGGCGAAAGCGGUUUUCUAGCUAUUACCUGACGCUGAGGCGCGAGAGCAUGGGGAGCAAACAGGAUUAGAUACCCUGGUAGUCCAUGCCGUAAACGAUGUAUACUUGAUGUAAUUAGGCUCAACCCUGACUGUGUCGAAGCUAACGCGAUAAGUAUACCGCCUGGGGAGUACGCUCGCAAGGGUGAAACUCAAAAGAAUUGACGGGGGCCCGCACAAGCAGUGGAGCAUGUGGCUUAUUUCGAUGCAACGCGAAGAACCUUCCCCGGGCUCGAAAUGUAUUGGACGUCACCAGAGAUAAUGUUUCCCGUAAGGGCUGUUAUAUAGGUGCUGCAUGGCUGUCGUCAGCUCGUGCCGUGAGGUGUUUGGUUAAGUCCAGCAACGAGCGCAACCCUUAUCAUUAGUUGCCAACAUGUAAGGUGGGAACUCUAGUGAGACUGCCUGGGUUAACCAGGAGGAAGGCGCGGAUGACGUCAAGUCAGCAUGGCCUUUAUGUCCGGGGCUGCACACGUGUUACAAUGGCCGGUACAAAAGGCAGCAAAAUCGCAAGAUGGAGCUAAUCCCCAAAGCCGAUCUCAGUUCAGAUUGUAGUGUGCAACUCGACUACAUGAAGAUGGAAUCGCUAGUAAAGGGGUAUCAGCUACAACGUCGUGAAUACGUUCCCGGGCGUUGUACACACCGCCCGUCUCAUCAUGGGAGUUGGUUUUACCCGAAGUUACUGACC
rnacentral:rRNA from 1 species